rnacentral:lncRNA from 1 species
AAAACCUCAUAGUUCGGGUUCAAAAGUAAGAAGGGAUUUGUUGAGGUUGGUUUUAUGAGAAAGAGACAGAUUGUCAUCUUAAGGAGAAAACUCGCAUUUAAACCACCACAAACAUGUGGAAGAUAGAUCUUUGCAUCAAAUUGAAAGAAGGGCUCUCACUUGGAUAUAGAAUCAACAAGUAUGCCACAUACCUCUUUCGAAUUUAAAAGAAUCAAUAUCAAGUUCAACAAUGUUAUGGGGUAGGAGAUUU